AAGACACAAAACACACACUUAAGUGUGUUUUGGUCGACCAAAACCACAGAGCCAAGAAGGAGCUCCCUUCAAGCCUAAACUCACAAGAAUUCAACGAAAUCGAAGACAAAUCAAGCUAAAAAUUGGGGCUUUUAAUAAAAUCGUGAUCACCAACCUUAGGGGAUGACAAGGUUGAUGCUUGAUAGGACGUCCUCGACAUGGAUGGAAGGCUAAACCCCCCCCCCCCAAAUGGCAUCGUAUCGGCCAUAUUUGAGCUUUUAUUUAAAGACUUGGUGUUUUGAUGUAAUUUGUACUUGAGAAUUUCCGCUUCAAUUUAAUAACAUUAUCAAUUUAAGAACUAUGCCAUGUCGUAAUGA